rnacentral:rRNA from 1 species
CCUACGGGGUGCUGCCGUGGGGAAUAUUGGACAAUGGGCGAAAGCCUGAUCCAGCCAUGCCGCGUGUGUGAAGAAGGCCUUCGGGUUGUAAAGCACUUUCAGUGGGGAAGAAAGCCUUGGGGCUAAUACCCUCGAGGAAGGACAUCACCCACAGAAGAAGCACCGGCUAACUCCGUGCCAGCAGCCGCGGUAAUACGGAGGGUGCGAGCGUUAAUCGGAAUUACUGGGCUUAAAGCGCGCGUAGGCGGUCUGAUAAGCCGGUUGUGAAAGCCCCGGGAUCAACCUGGGAACGGCAUCCGGAACUGUCAGGCUAGAGUGCAGGAGAGGAAGGUAGAAUUCCCGGUGUAGCGGUGAAAUGCGUAGAGAUCGGGAGGAAUACCAGUGGCGAAGGCGGCCUUCUGGACUGACACUGACGCUGAGGUGCGAAAGCGUGGGUAGCAAACAGGAUUAGAUAACCCGAGUAGUC